AUGAUGGUGACGAUGAUUCCAAAAACGACAAUUCUGAAAAUCUACAAAAUGGUGAUAUUCAACAGAAAAGCAAAAUGAUGAAUAAAGUACCAAGUUUUUCGGAUCCUCUUUACGAUUCAAGUGAUGACACUAUGGGAAACCCUUCAACAUCAUCUGAAAUGGAUUCACAACGCCAGAGAAGAGGAUUUCGUUUUUCUAGUUUUGAAGGGUUAGAAGAGGCAAGUGAAGAUAGUGAAGACGACUAUGUUCCAGAGACCAGUGGGGAAAGCACAGACAGUGAGGCCAGCUUGGAAUUAUCUCUAGACAACGGGCAAAAGAAAAAAACUAUGUCUACGAUAAGCAAGUUUUGCAUUCAGGAUGAGAGUGUGUCUAGUCAGAGUAGAAGCUUUGAUAAGGAUGAUUCCAAAGUCACUACAAGUGAAGAUGAAAGGGCUCCCUUGGAAGAAGAACCUGUUCAUGUUGUUCCUGUUUCAAAGAAGGAAGAUGGUUCCAGAAGAUAUAACAAGAAACAUCACUGCUUGUAUUGUGGUGUAAUUGUACAAAAAAUGUCAAGACAUUUGCUACGUAAACACAUGGAUAAAGCUGAUGUUGCAAAAGCUUUUAGUUUGGGAAAGAACUCAAAACAAAGACGACUUCAGUUGGAUUAUCUAC